GGAAGGAUCAUUAUAAAAUGCUCAAAGCAUAACCACCAUUUUGUGCACUUGACCAACUGUUACUUUGGUGAUGCUUCGUGUUCCUACAGCUGGCACGACUUGCACUAUUUCCGAGUUGGGAAAAAGUGCAAGUGGCACACCAAAGGCUACUUAUACACACAUCUUGAUUGAACCUUUGCUUGACAUAGUCAUAUCUGCGAAUAUGAAUCAUUUCUAACGAAUACAACUUUUAACAACGGAUCUCUUGGCUCUCCCAUCGAUGAAGAACGCAGCGAAUUGCGAUACGUAAUGUGAAUUGCAGAAUUCAGUGAAUCAUCGAAUUUUUGAACGCAUAUUGCGCUCCCUGGCAAUCCGGGGAGCAUGCCUGUUUCAGUAUCAGUUCCCCAAAGCAAAUCCUCCCUUUUGUGGAGGGAAGCUGUUCUUGAGCUUUCUCACCAUUCAGAAUUGCCAUCGACACUGUUGUGGUGUCAAUGUUGAUUCUGACAGGGUGAGUUGCUUGAAAUUAAGAGAUUGGCCGCAGCAGCUUGCUGGUAAAAUCGACCUUUCUGGUGCAAUAUGAAGCCGUAACCGGUUUUACAGAAUAUUCACCUCUGGCCGAGCAGCGAGUUGGGCUUUUGCUGGCCUUUCAUGACAAAUUGUAACCGCUGAUGGAUGUCGGUGGCUACGCAACCUUUGAUCUGAAAUCAGGUAGGACUACCCGCUGAACUUAAGCAUAUUAAUAAGCGGAGGAAAAGAAACUAACAAGGAUUCCCCUAGUAACGGCGAGUGAAGCGGGAAAAGCUCAAUUUUGAAAUCUGUGUCUCCCCGAGGCACAGAGUUGUAGUUUAUAGACGCGUUUUCGGCGGCGGCGUCAGUAUAAAUCCUUUGGAACAGGGUAUCGUAGAGGGUGAGAAUCCCGUCUUUGACUGACGACACGCUGCUAUGUGAUACGCGCUCUGAGAGUCGCAUUGUUUGGGAAUGCAGUGCAAAUUGGGUGGUAAAUUUCAUCUAAAGCUAAAUAAUGGGGAGAGACCGAUAGCGAACAAGUACCGUGAGGGAAAGAUGAAAAGCACUUUGAAAAGAGAGUCAAAUAGUACGUGAAAUUGUUAAAAGGGAAACGAAUGAGACCAGUAAUCUUGGCAGCUAAUCAGCCAACUCUACGUAGCUUGGGGCAGCUUGAAGAGUGUCAAAGCCUUCAGCUAUCUCACAGCCAUGUCGAACUGGUGCACUUUGCUGCCAGGGAGUCAGCAUCAGUUUGCGUUGGCGGAAAAACUUCAGCGGAAGGUAGCCAUGGCCUCGGCCGUGGUGUUUAGCCGCUGGUAGCACACGUCGACGUGGAUUGAGGAACGCAGAGUGAUGCCACUUGGCAAGGGCGACCUGGUGCUGUCGAGUGCGGUGUUGCAGGCCAGCUUGCUGACUGGGACAUAGUUGCUUGACACCCGCCAGGCUCCGCUACACACGCUCUUGGGUUGCUGACGAAAUGGUUUUAUCCGACCCGUCUUGAAACACGGACCAAGGAGUCUAACAUAUGUGCGAGUAUUUGGGCGUCAAACCCAUAUGCGCAAUGAAAGUGAAUGCAGGUGGGAGCCUUGCGGCGCACCAUCGACCGAUCUGGAUAUUUUUUGAUAGAUUUGAGUAAGAGCAUACAUGUUGGGACCCGAAAGAUGGUGAACUAUGCCUGAAUAGGGUGAAGCCAGAGGAAACUCUGGUGGAGGCUCGUAGCGAUUCUGACGUGCAAAUCGAUCGUCAAAUUUGGGUAUAGGGGCGAAAGACUAAUCGAACCAUCUAGUAGCUGGUUCCUGC
rnacentral:misc_RNA from 1 species